UACGUAGGGUGCGAGCGUUGUCCGGAAUUACUGGGCGUAAAGAGCUUGUAGGUGGUUUGUCGCGUUGUUCGUGAAAUCUCACGGCUUAACUGUGAGCGUGCGGGCGAUACGGGCAGACUAGAGUACUGCAGGGGAGACUGGAAUUCCUGGUGUAGCGGUGGAAUGCGCAGAUAUCAGGAGGAACACCGGUGGCGAAGGCGGGUCUCUGGGCAGUAACUGACGCUGAGAAGCGAAAGCGUGGGGAGCGAACAGG
rnacentral:rRNA from 3 species